rnacentral:tRNA from 1 species
CGGGGUGUAGCGCAGCUUGGUAGCGCAUCUGGUUUGGGACCAGAGGGCCGCGGGUUCAAAUCCUGCCGCCCCGACCA